rnacentral:lncRNA from 1 species
AUCUGGAUAUACUUGGUAAAUUCUGCUGAUAAAUUUUUUGAGAAAUAGGGAGUUUCUCAGUUUAGUAUCUGCUAAGAAGUCCGAGCAUUGCAUUUGCUUCUUAUCUUGAAAUUUUUUAGCGUUGUUCAGCACAUCUGCAAAAUAUGAUUAUUCUUCUCACUUCUAAUAGAAUUUAUCCGAAUGUGCUCAGUAACGACAGAGUCCAGGUUCAGCAACCACAUUUGAGUACUGAGCUGUCUUGUUCAGACUAAAAAGUGAUUGGAAUAGUUUCAUUCUGUCAUCAUCAUGUACAUAAGCUUGUGAACCACCAGACUAUUAUGUGGUGAGCAUGGAAAGAGUGCCACAAAUGACUCUUGUAUAUCAUCUAAUCUUUACUGUCUCAGCCAAAACUUGGAUGCUAAGCACGUCAGCCCUGAUGCAUCAUCUUACAGUUCCAACUUAGAAGCACUAGGAGACUCAGGGAUAUAUGAAUGGUUUUUGUUUCACAGGGUAAACUAGCAAAGCUUUUAGCUUGUAUCUUAUUUUGAAACUUUUGUUGACCUGAUUUAGUGUGUUUGCCUUUUGAAUCAAACGAUGCUUUGCCUUAAACCUCUAAGCAAUUACCAUGGGUAACUGUGUGAUUUCUGCUGUUAGGUCACUGCUGGGAGAAAGUACGCGCGUCUGUUCUCCUUUGCUUAUGAUAUAGUUCAGAUUAUUUUUUUGUGCAAAGUGUUCUCAGGGAAGGUGAUACUUCUUGGUGCCUUUUUCCCGCAUGGUUUCUGUUCUCUUUGGAGAGGUGCUGUGUAAAUGUAGGCCUCCAUUCUGCCGUCAAUUUCACUUGUGUGACCACUGACCACCCUGAAAUCAGAAAAUUUGAGUAGUUCCUUUUGCAUGAUAAUCAACUCAAGACCCGUUAGUUGUAACAAUCAUGUACCUAUUAGUCAAUCUGCCAUUUUAUUUUGUUAAUAAAUAUUACGGAAUUAGAAGAAACCUUUAUGUUCGUUCACUAAAUUUAGGAAUCAACAAAACAUAAUUUUUUUAUCGUUUCGCGUCAAUCCUUUCGACUUUCAAUUCUCUGUUUCUCCUUGUCUCUUUUCAUUAUCCUUGAUCUUCACGUAGAAGUCCCAGGUAAAAAAUUAUGCUUUGUUUGAUUUUUACAUUUGGUAUUCUUGAAACUUCUUAAUUGUGUGGGGAUCAAAUGUUUAUAUUUCCUUCCGUUCCUUAAAUUAGAUAUUUGAUAUUAUUAAUGUAGUAACCUAGGGGUUGCUCAGAUGGUUAGCAUUAUCACCUACAACCUCAGGGUUGUGGGUUAGCAUUCUCACCUACAACCUCAGGGUCGUGGGUUCGAGUCAAUGAGAGACUUCGAAGUAGGGCCGUUCGUGGUUCUGUCGAUUUUUUCUUUAAAAUAGUCAAACCUAUCAUGCCUAUUUACUAAUUUAAGAAUCUAACAAAGAAUAAAUUCUUACUGUUUCGUGUCGACACUUAAAAAUCCUCUGGGAUAACGAAUCACUCUUAAAGCUGCCUCCAAUUAUUUAUCCUGUGGACAACAGUGGC